ACACACUCUUCAUCAUCACACAAGACUAAACUACAACUAUGAACAACAUCAUCAUCUUCAUCUGGACCAUUGCACUGUUUAUUCAAGAAUCCAGAGGAGUGACUCUGACUCAACCUGAAGUUAAAACUGUCCAACAGAGUCAAACAGCAACAAUAGAGUGUCAUAUAGAUGUAGGAAUAUUAGGCAGCUACUUAGCCUGGUAUCAGCAGAAACCUGGAGAAGCUCCUAAACUCCUGAUUUAUUAUAUAAGCAGCCGUAAUACUGGAACUCACUCUAGAUUCAGUGGCAGUGGAACAGCAAGUACUGGACGAGAUUUUACUCUGACCAUCAGUGGAGUCCAGACUGAAGAUACAGGAGAUUAUUACUGUCAGAGUUUACACAGUGGUCCAGUGUUCACACAGUGAUAAAGAGUCGUACAAAAACCUCUGUCAGUCAGACGUCACAGUGACUGCACUGAUACAGCUGAGAGAAACUGCAGCUGCUGAUGGAGGAUCACAAACUACACAAUAUCAAACCUUUCACACACUUUAUUCAUUUAUUAUGAUGUACUAAGUAAACUUAUAAUCUUAUAUCCCUUACUAAACUGGACUAAAAUGUGUAUAAAUGUGAGUGGAGCUUGUUCUUGUAAAGCUUCUUGUUCUUGUAAAGCCUCUACACUGUAAUAAUUGCACUUCAUGCUUCACCAAUAGAGGACACAUCUUUAUAUGACUGAGUUCCUCUCUGUCAGCGAGAGAGUUUCUCUGGACACUUCAACGAGCAUCUAGAAAGAGAAAUCUCACACUUCACAUCAGAAGGCCUACUCUCUCAUCCCUGUGUAGAAAGACAUGAAUGAGACGCUGAAAUUAAAAUGGUUAAAAGCACC